GGGGCUGACUUGGAUUUCGACAGAUUUCUUGUCGCACAGAUAGCAUGCCAAGUGCUGCUUGUAAAACAGCAACAAAAAUAACUGUAAACAACACAGAUUACGCUCCAGCUUACGCUAAAGCUGCGUGAGUUAAUCUCCUUUUGGAGCUGGACGAUUAGAAUUUCUAGCGUUUUAAUCACUCCAUAACCUUAAGCUAGACGCUUUUAAAAGGUGGUUCGCCUUUUAAACUAAGAAACAAGAACUCUUGAAACUACCUCAAGGUUUUAGAAAGUUGGACCAGAGCUAGUUUUAAGGCUAAAAACUAACCAAUUUUCUAAGCAUUGUAGAAGUUUGUGUUUAGGGCAAGAUUUUUGGACUGGGGUUCGAUUCCCCACAGCUCCACCA
rnacentral:tmRNA from 1 species